UCUUCUAUCUGUAAUAAAUGUGCAAUUAAUUAUUUUGGUUUCUUGUUACAGACAUCCAUCACAAUCUUUUGCAUUCAGUCUGCCUGAAAUUUAGAAAAGACAAAGUUGGAGAAGCAAGCAUGUCUGUUUUUUCUGUCAUUCAUGUAAGAGGAGAAUGAAGGGGCAAAAGCAGAUAUUUCACUGUGCAGAGAGAACCAGGGCUAGAAAAAUAG
rnacentral:lncRNA from 1 species